rnacentral:rRNA from 1 species
AGGGUUUGAUCCUGGCUCAGAACGUACGCUGGCGGCACGCCUAACACAUGCAAGUCGAACGAAGUAGCAAUACUUAGUGGCAGACGGGUGAGUAACAUGUGGGUAUCUGCCCUUUGGCCUGGAAUAACACGAGGAAACUUGUGCUAAUACCGGAUAAGUCUUUACGGAGAAAGCUUUAUGCACCAUUGGAUGAGCCUGCACUUGAUUAGUUUGUUGGUGGGGUAAUGGCCUACCAAGACUGUGAUCAAUAGCUGAUUUGAGAGGAUGAUCAGCCACAUUGGGACUGAGACACGGCCCAAACUCCUACGGGAGGCAGCAGUGGGGAAUCUUGCACAAUGGAGGAAACUCUGAUGCAGCGAUGCCGCGUGAGUGAAGAAGGCCUUUGGGUUGUAAAGCUCUUUCGUCGGGGAAGAAAAUGACUGUACCCGAAUAAGAAGGUCCGGCUAACUUCGUGCCAGCAGCCGCGGUAAUACGAAGGGACCUAGCGUAGUUCGGAAUUACUGGGCUUAAAGAGUUCGUAGGUGGUUGAAAAAGUUAGUGGUGAAAUCCCAGAGCUUAACUCUGGAACUGCCAUUAAAACUUUUCAGCUAGAGUAUGAUAGAGGAAAGCAGAAUUUCUAGUGUAGAGGUGAAAUUCGUAGAUAUUAGAAAGAAUACCAAUUGCGAAGGCAGCUUUCUGGAUCAUUACUGACACUGAGGAACGAAAGCAUGGGUAGCGAAGAGGAUUAGAUACCCUCGUAGUCCAUGCCGUAAACGAUGUGUGUUAGACGUUGGAAAUUUAUUUUCAGUGUCGCAGCGAAAGCGAUAAACACACCGCCUGGGGAGUACGACCGCAAGGUUAAAACUCAAAUGAAUUGACGGGGACCCGCACAAGUAGUGGAGCAUGUGGUUUAAUUCGAAGAUACGCGCAGAACCUUACCAACACUUGACAUGUUCGUCGCGACUCUAAGAGAUUAGAGUUUUCGGUUCGGCCGGACGAAACACAGGUGCUGCAUGGCUGUCGUCAGCUCGUGUCGUGAGAUGUUGGGUUAAGUCCCGCAACGAGCGCAACCCUCACUUUUAGUUGCCAUCAUUAAGUUGGGCACUCUGAAAGAACUGCCAGUGAUAAGCUGGAGGAAGGUGGGGAUGACGUCAAGUCCUCAUGGCCCUUACGUGUUGGGCUACACACGUGCUACAAUGGUAUCUACAACAGGAAGCAAGACUGCGAGGUCAAGCAAAUCCUUAAAAGAUACCUCAGUUCGGAUUGCACUCUGCAACUCGAGUGCAUGAAGCUGGAAUUACUAGUAAUCGUGGAUCAGCGUGCCACGGUGAAUGCGUUCCCGGGUCUUGUACACACCGCCCGUCACACCAUGGGAGUUGGUUCUACCUUAAGGCAAGGUUUCAAACCCUUGACCACGGUAUAGUCAGCGACUGGGGUGAAGUCGUAACAAGGUAACCGUA